AACGAACGCUGGCGGCGUGGAUAAGACAUGCAAGUCGAACGGGAGUUUGUUUAUAGCAAUAUGAGUGAACUCUAGUGGCGAAAGGGUGCGUAACACGUAGCUACCUACCUCGAAGUUGGGGAUAGCUCGGCGAAAGCCGGAUUAAUACCGAAUGUGAUCGUGAGAUCAAAGCUGGGGAUCGUAAGACCUGGCGCUUUGAGAUGGGGCUGCGGCCUAUCAGCUAGNGG
rnacentral:rRNA from 1 species